UACGUAGGGGGCUAGCGUUGUCCGGAUUUAUUGGGCGUAAAGAGCGUGUAGGCGGCCAGGUAGGUCCGUUGUGAAAACUCGAGGCUCAACCUCGAGACGUCGGCGGAAACCCUCUGGCUAGAGUCCGGAAGAGGAGAGUGGAAUUCCUAGUGUAGAGGUGAAAUUCGUAGAUAUUAGGAAGAACACCAGUGGCGAAGGCGGCUCACUGGCCCGGUACUGACGCUCAUGUGCGAAAGCGUGGGGAGCAAACAGG
rnacentral:rRNA from 1 species